rnacentral:rRNA from 1 species
CCGGCCCUCGCCCUGUUUUACAAAAACAUGUUCUUUUGUUUUAAAUAAAAGAUUUAACCUGCUCUAUGAUUAUUAAAUGGCUGCAGUAUUUUGACUGUACAAAGGUAGCAUAAUAAUUUGUCUUUUAAUUGAAGACUGGUAUGAAUGGUUGGAUGAGAAAUAUACUUUCUUUAUUUUAUAUAAAAAAAUUGAUUUUUUAGUUAAAAAGCUAAAAUAUUUUUAUAGGACGAGAAGACCCUAUAGAACUUUACUUUGAUAUAAAUAUACUAUUUAUAUAUUUUUAAAAUUUUAUAUUUUUAUUAAAGUUUUGUUGGGGUGACAAAAAAAAUUAUAUAACUUUUUUUUAUUAAAUCAUUAAUUUAUGUUUUUUUGAUCCUUUAUUAUGGAAAAUAAGAUUAAGUUACCUUAGGGAUAACAGCGUUAUUUUUUUGGAGAGUUCAUAUUGAUAAAGAAGUUUGCGACCUCGAUGUUGGAUUAAAAUAAGUUACAGGGGUAUAAUAUUGUAUACUAGGUCUGUUCGACCUUUAAAUUUUUACAUGAUCAA